GUUAGGAAUUGAAAGAAAGGAAGACAGAGAAUCACCGUGACUCAGGGGAGAAGGAUGGGACAUAAGAGCUGCAGGAGAGAAAGCUGAUCGGCCAUGUAAGAAUUUGGCUCCAAGGAGUCAGCACUUCUGUUAUCUCUAUUUCCUGUCAAGAAAACCAGAGCUUGAAAGGAUUUGCCCAUGGCUUCUAGGUAGGAAUACCCACGCUGACAGCAAAACCCAUGCUGGCUUGCCCGCAGGCUGGCAGAUCUCAGCAUCAUGCCAUAAACGACAGAAGACCCAUAAAGCUCUGAUACAUCUAUAUUUAACAUGAACUACAAAUAAUGAGAGACUUAUGGUGGUCCACAGAUAGAAACUUACUAUGGUAGCAGCAUGCAGCUGUUAGGUUUAACUUAGCACAUUCAACAAAGUGGAAAUCAAGGAAAACAUUUCCCAUCACGGUUGAUCACCGUUGGACUUUGAAGGGCUGUACGUCUUAGCUAUGCUUCUAGACAAAUAAAGGAUCCUCCUAUGGCUGGAUAGUCACUUUGCACUGCUGUUAUAAAAACACUAUUACCAAGGCGACUUAUAGAAAGAAGAUGGCUUAAGUUUCCCGGGGAAAGUCUGUAACAUCAGAAAGGCAUGGCUGUAGUCAUCUAGAACCACACACAAACUCAGAGAGAAACUACAUGUCGGGCAAGGUCAUAAGCUGUCAAAGCUCUCCCCACCAAGGGACGUGCUUCCUCCAGCAAUGCUGAACCUCCCCAGACACCACCACCAACUGGAGAUCAAGUGUUCAAAUAUCUGAGCUUUGCGGGGACAUUUCUCAUUUGAAACCCCCUCCCCAGAAGAGUCAUUCAGGAUGCCUUACAGUUUACAGGACAUGCUGUAAUCAAAGUAACUAUUAAAUGUUCCCAAGAUUUCUGAGACUUGCAAAGGACAUUUAAUAAAUAAAAAAAUGUACAGUGAAAUAAAAAAACAAUUAAGAAAAACACAUUGCAUUUGUAGGGAUCUCUCAGUUCAAGAAGAACUGAAUCUCCCGUCAGUCAGCUUCGUGUGAAGAUAACUAGAGGCUUCUGGGUUGACAUGAGAGGAUUUUAACAACCUUCCGAUUGCUAAAGAGUUUGACAUGACUUUAUGUCCAGGUCAUGAUGGCAUUUUAAUAGCAGCACAAGGUUUUCAAACAGGAGACACUGAAGGGCAGUUGCUCUCCUUUGGCACUAGAGGCCAGUCUGCAGCUAAUUAGCAGGUCAUAGGUGGAAGUGGACUGUGGCAGAACAACAAAACAUUGUUGUUAUCAGUUCACUGAACAGAUGGAAGAAAGGCAUUUCAAGUCAAGCCAAAUGGAGCUGAAGGUGACACAGUAUCAAAAUUAGACUGAAACUGGUGCAGAUGCACUGGAACCCAGGUCUGCUUUAAUUAUCCUUUUCUGUUCGCAUCUUAUUCUAUUCAUACAAUUUCCCUUUAGUAAAUUUAACCCUGCUCAAAGAAAUAUGUUAGCUGUUAGAUAUGACAUGAUUUAGCCAAAUACUUUGGACUUUGGUUGUCAUAGCAAAUAAAUUUUCCUGUGGCAAUUAAACUAUAGGGUGCAAAGCACAUUGGAGGAAUCUCAGAGAUUGUGAUUGGCCCAGAUUAAACUCAUCUUUUCCACACACA
rnacentral:lncRNA from 1 species